rnacentral:rRNA from 1 species
UGGGGAAUUUUGGACAAUGGGGGCAACCCUGAUCCAGCCAUGCCGCGUGCGGGAAGAAGGCCUUCGGGUUGUAAACCGCUUUUGUCAGGAAAGAAAUCCUUCGGGAUAACACCUCGAGGGGAUGACGGUACCUGAAGAAUAAGCACCGGCUAACUACGUGCCAGCAGCCGCGGUAAUACGUAGGGUGCGAGCGUUAAUCGGAAUUACUGGGCGUAAAGCGUGCGCAGGCGGUUGUGCAAGACAGGUGUGAAAUCCCCGGGCUUAACCUGGGAACUGCAUUUGUGACUGCACGGCUAGAGUACGGUAGAGGGGGAUGGAAUUCCGCGUGUAGCAGUGAAAUGCGUAGAUAUGCGGAGGAACACCGAUGGCGAAGGCAGUCCCCUGGACCUGUACUGACGCUCAUGCACGAAAGCGUGGGGAGCAAACAGG